CGCACAUUGCGCCCCGUGGUAUUCCGCGGGGUAUGCCUGUUCGAGCGUCAUUUCACCACUCAAGCCUGGCUUGGUAUUGGGCGUCGCGAGUCCGCGCGCCUCAAAGUCUCCGGCUGAGCUGUCCGUCUCCCAGCGUUGUGAAUCAUAUUCGCUACGGAGCGCGGGUGGCCGCGGCCGUUAAACUUCUUACAGGUUGACCUCGGAUCAGGUAGGGAUACCCGCUGAACUUAA
rnacentral:misc_RNA from 1 species